UACAGAGGUCUCAAGCGUUGUUCGGAUUCAUUGGGCGUAAAGGGUGCGUAGGCGGCGCGGUAAGUCGGGUGUGAAAUCUCGGAGCUUAACUCCGAAACUGCAUUCGAUACUGCCGUGCUUGAGGACUGGAGAGGAGACUGGAAUUCCCGGUGUAGCGGUGAAAUGCGCAGAUAUCGGGAGGAACACCAAUGGCGAAGGCAGCUCGCUGGGACGUUACUGACGCUGAGACGCGAAAGCGUGGGGAGCAAACAGG
rnacentral:rRNA from 1 species